GGGGCGUUAGCUCAGCGGGAGAGCACUUGCUUGACAGGCAAGGGGUCACUGGUUCAAUCCCAGUACGUCCCACCA
rnacentral:tRNA from 1 species